rnacentral:misc_RNA from 1 species
GAUGAAGAACGUAGCGAAAUGCGAUAAGUAAUGUGAAUUGCAGAAUUCAGUGAAUCAUCGAAUCUUUGAACGCACAUUGCGCCCUCUGGUAUUCCGGGGGGCAUGCCUGUUCGAGCGUCAUUAUAACCACUCAAGCUCUCGCUUGGUAUUGGGGUUCGCGGUUUCGCGGCCCCUAAAAUCAGUGGCGGUGCCUGUCGGCUCUACGCGUAGUAAUACUCCUCGCGAUUGAGUCCGGUAGGUCUACUUGCCAGCAACCCCUAAUUUUUUUUAAGGUUGACCUCGGAUCAGGUAGGGAUACCCGCUGAACUUAAGCAUAUCAAUAGCGGAGGA